AGACCCGAAACCCGGUGAUCUAGCCAUGGGCAGGUUGAAGGUUGGGUAACACUAACUGGAGGACCGAACCGACUAAUGUUGAAAAAUUAGCGGAUGACCUGUGGCUGGGGGUGAAAGGCCAAUCAAACCGGGAGAUAGCUGGUUCUCCCCGAAAGCUAUUUAGGUAGCGCCUCGUGAAUUCAUCUCCGGGGGUAGAGCACUGUUUCGGCUAGGGGGCCAUCCCGGCUUACCAACCCGAUGCAAACUGCGAAUACCGGAGAAUGUUAUCACGGGAGACACACGGCGGGUGCUAACGUCCGUCGUGAAGAGGGAAACAACCCAGACCGCCAGCUAAGGUCCCAAAGUCAUGGUUAAGUGGGAAACGAUGUGGGAAGGCCCAGACAGCCAGGAUGUUGGCUUAGAAGCAGCCAUCAUUUAAAGAAAGCGUAAUAGCUCACUGGUCGAGUCGGCCUGCGCGGAAGAUGUAACGGGGCUAAACCAUGCACCGAAGCUGCGGCAGCGAACGUAUCACUUAAAGCGAUUCAGCGGGUUACGAUUGACGGAGCGAAGCGACGUCAAAGCGUAUACAAAGUCGAGUCGGUUUAAGGAUACGUUCGUUGGGUAGGGGAGCGUUCUGUAAGCCUGUGAAGGUGGCCUGUGAGGGUUGCUGGAGGUAUCAGAAGUGCGAAUGCUGACAUAAGUAACGAUAAAGCGGGUGAAAAGCCCGCUCGCCGGAAGACCAAGGGUUCCUGUCCAACGUUAAUCGGGGCAGGGUGAGUCGACCCCUAAGGCGAGGCCGAAAGGCGUAGUCGAUGGGAAACGGGUUAAUAUUCCCGUACUUGGUGUUACUGCGAAGGGGGGACGGAGAAGGCUAUGUUGGCCGGGCGACGGUUGUCCCGGUUUAAGCGUGUAGGUGUGUGUUCCAGGUAAAUCCGGUUCACUUUAACACUGAGGCGUGACGACGAGGCACUACGGUGCUGAAGCAACAAAUGCCCUGCUUCCAGGAAAAGCCUCUAAGCAUCAGGUAACAUCAAAUCGUACCCCAAACCGACACAGGUGGUCAGGUAGAGAAUACCAAGGCGCUUGAGAGAACUCGGGUGAAGGAACUAGGCAAAAUGGUGCCGUAACUUCGGGAGAAGGCACGCUGACACGUAGGUGAAGUGAUUUACUCACGGAGCUGAAGUCAGUCGAAGAUACCAGCUGGCUGCAACUGUUUAUUAAAAACACAGCACUGUGCAAACACGAAAGUGGACGUAUACGGUGUGACGCCUGCCCGGUGCCGGAAGGUUAAUUGAUGGGGUCAGCGCAAGCGAAGCUCCUGAUCGAAGCCCCGGUAAACGGCGGCCGUAACUAUAACGGUCCUAAGGUAGCGAAAUUCCUUGUCGGGUAAGUUCCGACCUGCACGAAUGGCGUAAUGAUGGCCAGGCUGUCUCCACCCGAGACUCAGUGAAAUUGAACUCGCUGUGAAGAUGCAGUGUACCCGCGGCAAGACGGAAAGACCCCGUGAACCUUUACUAUAGCUUGACACUGAACAUUGAGCCUUGAUGUGUAGGAUAGGUGGGAGGCUUUGAAGUGUGGACGCCAGUCUGCAUGGAGCCGACCUUGAAAUACCACCCUUUAAUGUUUGAUGUUCUAACGUGGACCCGUAAUCCGGGUUGCGGACAGUGUCUGGUGGGUAGUUUGACUGGGGCGGUCUCCUCCUAAAGAGUAACGGAGGAGCACGAAGGUUGGCUAAUCCUGGUCGGACAUCAGGAGGUUAGUGCAAUGGCAUAAGCCAGCUUGACUGCGAGCGUGACGGCGCGAGCAGGUGCGAAAGCAGGUCAUAGUGAUCCGGUGGUUCUGAAUGGAAGGGCCAUCGCUCAACGGAUAAAAGGUACUCCGGGGAUAACAGGCUGAUACCGCCCAAGAGUUCAUAUCGACGGCGGUGUUUGGCACCUCGAUGUCGGCUCAUCACAUCCUGGGGCUGAAGUAGGUCCCAAGGGUAUGGCUGUUCGCCAUUUAAAGUGGUACGCGAGCUGGGUUUAGAACGUCGUGAGACAGUUCGGUCCCUAUCUGCCGUGGGCGCUGGAGAACUGAGGGGGGCUGCUCCUAGUACGAGAGGACCGGAGUGGACGCAUCACUGGUGUUCGGGUUGUCAUGCCAAUGGCACUGCCCGGUAGCUAAAUGCGGAAGAGAUAAGUGCUGAAAGCAUCUAAGCACGAAACUUGCCCCGA
rnacentral:rRNA from 2 species